UCUGAGGUGAUGUGGAGCAGGAGUGAAGAGCAAACUCAGUGCUUGCUGCCGUACCGCGUGGAUGAUGGUACAUCCAGAUUCAGAGGGAUAGUUUUAUAACGACUGUGGCCCUUCUGUUUAAUAGCUUGGUGUUGGCAAAUUUUCCUCUCCCAAUACCAGAAUGCCAAAGGAAGAAACAAUCAAGGGAAAAAUUUUAGGCCAUUUCUUAAUGUUUAAGAUUUGUCAUUUUAAACCAUAAUUUUUCUUAGAACAUCUUUGAAAUUUCUAAUCGCUUUGGUCAUUUAAGAAUGAGAGCUGCGAUGUUUUGAUUUAUAAAGGCAAACUUAAUGCAAAGUGGGUAACACUAAAUCCAUAGCAAAGUUUUUUAUUAAAUUUUUAUAAAUUUUUUAAUAGUUAAUUAUGUCCUAAUUGUAUUUUGGGGAAUGAGCAGCAGUAAAUACCACAGACUUAACAGUUUUCAUCCUUUUUUUAAAGUAUAUAUAUACAAAAGUGUAACUACGUUUUGGUGUUUAUCAAAACUAUUUAGUUGACAAGGUGCCUAUACCAUUGUUGAGAUUUUCUUUAAAUGUUUUAUGAAUAGAUUUGAAAAUUUUAAAAAAUCCUGAAACAGAUCUUACACAGCAAGAGUUUUCUGAAGGUCCAGAACCACUGACACAGUGUUCCCUAUCUGAUCUCUCUUCCCUGCAGACUUUAUAUUCUUGCUAUCUGAGCAGGGCCAAACACGUCACAGGUGAGGGGAGGGAAAGCCCAGCUUCCCACUCAACACCAGAGAGGCAUUUUUAAAUGAAUGAUGUGGCUUGCUCAGAGGUUUGAGUACUUCUCUCUAUCUUAGGUGGCACUGUCUGUAAAUGCUAACCUGUCACCAUCUCACAGCCAUAGUAAGGAGACGGAACAAAUUCGCCCAGUGGAAAGGAUAGACUCAUCGAUGUGUACAGUUAGACAAACAUGAGGCCCUCAUUCUAAUAAUUUUAUAAGAAUCUUCAACUAAAUUCUGAAGUCUCCCAAUUUUUGCAGUUAUUGGAGGAGAUCCCUGAGUUUACCAGCCUGUUCAUUGAAAGCUCUUACUCUGUGCACAAAUAUUAAAGUCACCAAAAAAGUGAACUGUUAAUCAUUCUUAUUUUUUAAACUCCAUUAGAUUGACUGGUAUCAUUAGCUCUGCUGCAAGGGCACAUUUUUCAAUUCAAUCUGGUGAUAUAUUUGCUAAGUCUACAGAAAGUUUGCUGUCAUAAACUCAAGCUGGCUCUUCUGUCUUUGUGUGAAUGACUGGGAUGCUGCCACAAGUUUUCCCAAGGUCACAGUUAUGAGAGAAACAUUGUUUGAGAGCGUUCCUGUCAUCUACACUAUGUGUGGUCUGGAGUUCCUGAGGUGUAGUCUCUCGUCCUGACCUGUACAGUUUUGAAUGUGCACCACUCCAUACUGAGAUGACACUGUACAGUUUUCCAUGGUAGCAGUUUCUGUAUGCAGUAGGCUGAAAUAUUUUGAUGAACUGCUUAAUUUUUGGAUUUUAUUUUUUAAGUUGUAUAAUUUAUUUUCUUGCAAAAUAAAAGUGUAAUAUAAAACAUUUCAUC
rnacentral:lncRNA from 1 species